rnacentral:rRNA from 1 species
UUGUAACACAAACGAGUGAAACAAGUACGUAAGUAUGGCAUAAUGAACAAAUAACACUGAUUGUAAAGGUUAUUGAUAACGAAUAAAAGUUACGCUAGGGAUAACAGGGUAAUAUAGCGAAAGAGUAGAUAUUGUAAGUUAUGUUUGCC